rnacentral:rRNA from 1 species
AGCGAACGCUGGCGGCAGGCCUAACACAUGCAAGUCGAACGAACUCUUCGGAGUUAGUGGCGGACGGGUGAGUAACACGUGGGAACGUGCCUUUAGGUUCGGAAUAACUCAGGGAAACUUGUGCUAAUACCGAAUGUGCCCUUCGGGGGAAAGAUUUAUCGCCUUUAGAGCGGCCCGCGUCUGAUUAGCUAGUUGGUGAGGUAAAGGCUCACCAAGGCGACGAUCAGUAGCUGGUCUGAGAGGAUGAUCAGCCACAUUGGGACUGAGACACGGCCCAAACUCCUACGGGAGGCAGCAGUGGGGAAUCUUGCGCAAUGGGCGAAAGCCUGACGCAGCCAUGCCGCGUGAAUGAUGAAGGUCUUAGGAUUGUAAAAUUCUUUCACCGGGGACGAUAAUGACGGUACCCGGAGUAGAAGCCCCGGCUAACUUCGUG